AAGUCGUAACAAGGUUUCCGUAGGUGAACCUGCGGAAGGAUCAUUAGAGGGGCGCGCAAGCGCAGUCUGCGGUCUCGAAAGGGAUGGUGGACGACCAGAAGAGGAAGGUAUGAUCGAGGAUUAACAAAACCAUGAACAACGGAUCUCUAGGCUCCU
rnacentral:misc_RNA from 1 species